GGAGGGGUACAGCUCAGUGUUAGAGCACAUGCUUAGCAUACAUGAGGUCCUGGGUUCAAUCUCCAGCACCUCCA
rfam:Camelus ferus unplaced genomic scaffold scaffold916, whole genome shotgun sequence.